GGUGAACGCUGACAGAAUGCUUAACACAUGCAAGUCAACUUGAAUUUGGGUUUUUUAACUUAGAUUUGGGUGGCGGACGGGUGAGUAACGCGUAAAGAACUUGCCUCACAGCUAGGGACAACAUUUGGAAACGAAUGCUAAUACCUGAUAUUAUGAUUAUAAGGCAUCUUAGAAUUAUGAAAGCUAUAUGCGCUGUGAGAGAGCUUUGCGUCCCAUUAGCUAGUUGGAGAGGUAACGGCUCACCAAGGCGAUGAUGGGUAGCCGGCCUGAGAGGGUGAACGGCCACAAGGGGACUGAGACACGGCCCUUACUCCUACGGGAGGCAGCAGUGGGGAAUAUUGGACAAUGGACCAAGAGUCUGAUCCAGCAAUUCUGUGUGCACGAUGACGUUUUUCGGAAUGUAAAGUGCUUUCAGUUGGGAAGAAAAAAUGACGGUACCAACAGAAGAAGUGACGGCUAAAUACGUG
rnacentral:rRNA from 1 species